rnacentral:lncRNA from 1 species
AAUGGGAGAAGUAUUAUAGCAUUAAAAAAUUUAAUAAAAAAAACCAUUAAAUGGUUUAAAACUCAAGUUUUAGUAAUAUUCUACAAGUACGUCUCAUUAUAUACAUAUAUUUGAUUGAUGGUGUCAAUAAAAGUUUUAAAAUUUGUUUCAAUUGCCAGAACUGCAAAGGGUUUCCAUCCAUGAGAAAGUAAACUUUCUUGAAAGAUGAUAAAUAAAAUCUGGUAUCACAGGGUGGGGAGGGAAAUCUUUACUCACUAGAAGGAUGCUUAAGAGAAGAGACAUCAGAGGAGUUCAUUAGCACAGAGGCCGUUAACUCCGCAGCUAAUGAACAGGACUGACUCUGAAGGCUGGUUUCCAAAGCAACCGGAGAAAUCCAUCCGUGUCCUGGCCGGUGCCGGGCAAACCCCGCUGCCAUGGCUCCCCCUGCUGGCGGUUCAGGCAGUGGCACUAUGCAAACGUGCUCCCCACCUAGCUAAGGAUCCUUAGGGAAUGAAUGGCUCAUGGCAGGGAGAUGCAAAUUACAAAAUGUUAAAACAAAACAAAGAUCUCCCCCAUAGCUCUUUUCAAUGAAUUCUAGGUACAACAACCAGUCACCUACUCUCUUCGGGAACAUUUUCACAGAUGUCAAUGUGGACAAGGGCAGUGGCAUUUGGUAGUAAGAACCCACUUACAAAUAAAUUAGGGUUUUUAAGGUGGAAGAAAGAAAAGAAACCAAAGCGGAAAGUCAUCAAGAUAAAAGCCUGGGCUAGAAGCUGGAAAACCUGAGGUCUGGUUCAAGUUCUCAGUUCCAGUUCUACUUAGUCACCCUGCACCUAACGACGUGCUUCUGUUAAAGAAGGGUUGGGGCUCACGUUAAAGGAGUUUAAACAUGAGUAUCCAGUUCUGUGAUCUGAUGCAGAAAAUUGGCAAAUGGUACCUCAUUCUGUGAGAGUAAAUUAUAUUUUCACCAUUCCAAGAUAAGGUAAGAAUAGAUUUGUUAGAAAGGAUUCCCCACUAAGAUUUGAGUUAAUCACCAUUCAGGGAUUUCCCACGUCUCGCUCCUUCCCUUCCUUCUACAAACAUUCAUUAUAUACCUAUAAUGAGUUAGGUACUCUUCAUAAAAGUGUGGAUUAAAGGUUCUGAGAAAAAGAAAAGCUAAGCCUCUAUAUUUGAUGACAAGAUGUU